CGGGGCCACGUUCGUCGUCCCCGGGUGAGUCGGGUCCUAAGGCGAGGCCGACAGGCGUAGUCGAAUGGAUGAACGGGUGGAUAUUCCCGUACCGGCGGCGUACCGUAAGAGCCGAACGGAUGAGUACUAACCUCCGGUCGCGUGGCGUCGUUCCCUUCGGGGUUCGGGGCGCGUGGCUGUUGGGAGCGUAGUCCCGGUAGGCUAGCGCACAGGGGUGACACGGAAUGGGAGCCGGCCGCGGAGGUGGUUUUCCGUGGUCAAGCACGCAGCCCGUCCCAUAGGCAAAUCCGUGGGACGCAUAGGGUGAGGUGUGAUGAUGGGCGUCCUUUGGACGCGAUAUCCGGUGGUCCAGGCCGUCGAGAAAAGCCUCGGCGCGAGGGGCGUCGCCGCCCGUACCCCAAACCGACACUGGUGGUCAGGUAGAGAAUACCAAGGCGAUCGAGCGAAUCCUGGUCAAGGAACUCGGCAAAUCACUCCCGUGCCUUCGGUAUAAGGGAGACCCCCGGGCGUGAAGAGGCUUGCCCUCGGAGCGUUGGGGGGUGGCACAGACCAGGGGGUAGCGACUGUUUACCAAAAACACAGGUGCAUGCGAAGGCGCAAGCCGCUGUAUAUGCACUGACGCCUGCCCGGUGCCGGAAGGUUAAGAGGAUCCGUCAGCCCCUUUUGGGGUGAAGCGGUGAAUUCAAGCCCCGGUAAACGGCGGUGGUAACUAUAACCAUCCUAAGGUAGCGAAAUUCCUUGUCGGGUAAGUUCCGACCUGCACGAAUGGCGUAACGACUUCCCCACUGUCUCGACCAGGAGCUCGGCGAAAUUGCAGUACGAGUAAAGAUGCUCGUUAAGCGCAGAAGGACGAAAAGACCCCGGGACCUUUACUAUACCUUGGUAUUGGCGUUAGGCGCGGAUUGUGUAGCAUAGGCGGGAGGCUUCGAAGCAUGGGCGCCAGCCCGUGUGGAGCCGCAAGGUGAAAUACCGCUCUGUUCUCGUUUGACGUCUCACCUCGAACAGUCAUCCUGUUCAGGGACAGUGCCUGGCGGGUAGUUUAACUGGGGCGGUUGCCUCCCAAAGAGUAACGGAGGCGCUCAAAGGUCCGCUCAGCCCGGUUGGCAAUCGGGUUUCGAGUGUAAUCGCACAAGCGGGCUUGACUGCGAGAACGACGGUUCGGGCAGGGACGAAAGUCGGAGAUAGUGAUCCGGUGCCGGCGCACGGGCGCGGCAUCGCUCAACGGAUAAAAGGUACCCCGGGGAUAACAGGCUGAUCAUUCCCAAGAGUCCAUAUCGACGGGAUGGUUUGGCACCUCGAUGUCGGCUCGUCGCAUCCUGGGGCUGGAGCAGGUCCCAAGGGUUCGGCUGUUCGCCGAUUAAAGCGGCACGCGAGCUGGGUUCAGAACGUCGUGAGACAGUUUGGUCUCUAUCCUCUGCGCUCGUUGGAAUCCUGAGGAGGCCUGCCCAUAGUACGAGAGGACCUGGGUGGACGGACCUCUGGUAUGCCGGUUGUCGCGCCAGCGGCAUGGCCGGUUGGCUACGUUCGGGAGGGAUAACCGCUGAAAGCAUCUAAGCGGGAAGCCUGCUCCAAGAUUAGGAUUCCUUGACGCUCCCCGGAGCGCCUGUAGCCCGCAUGUUGAACACGUGUUCGAUAGGCCGGAGGUGGAAGCCCCGCGAGGGGUGGAGCCGACCGGUACUAACGGGCGAACGCGGCACAC
rnacentral:rRNA from 1 species